rnacentral:misc_RNA from 1 species
CUUGUAGCAAGAGCAAGGUAUCAGGAAGGAAGAGUAGAAGCUAGGACCCUUUUCUCUAUUCCAUCAGGGAAAUAUGCUGUUCUUUUCGUAUUUCAAGGACUUGGUUGGUAGGGAAGUGACAGUGGAGCUGAAGAACGAUUUGGCAAUCAGAGGAACGCUUCACUCUGUCGAUCAGUACCUCAAUAUCAAGCUCGAGAACACUAGGGUUGUCGAUCAAGACAAGUACCCUCACAUGCUUUCUGUCAGGAACUGUUUUAUAAGGGGAUCUGUGGUUAGAUAUGUUCAGUUGCCUCCAGAAGGUGUUGACAUUGAUUUGCUCCAUGAUGCAACAAGGAGAGAAGCUCGGGGUGGCUGAAAUUCAGUUGAAACUGUCUCACUUAUUUGGAUGAACAUCUGAUGUAGAUGUAGUUGUAGUUUAAACACAGCUGUUUUGACAUUCCAAAUGUUGUAUGUUUG